rnacentral:misc_RNA from 1 species
AAACCAUAAGGCUUUGCCUUGCGUUGAUUUUUUGGAGAAUUUGUAUUUGCAAAACUCCAAGAAUCUAAACUUGUUGGCGUCGUAGUUUGACCAAGACACAGCACAAUGUGUUUAUUGAGACUAACUAAUUUGACCUGCCUAACUAAAUUAUAAUCUGAUAUUUUCUUCGGAAAGUAUUGUAG